rnacentral:lncRNA from 1 species
ACACUUACAGACUGUGGAAUGGAGCACACAGCUGGAAUCUUUCACUGCCCACAAGUCUACAUUUUCCCAUCUUCCUGGUAUGUCUCUCUCACCUAAUACUGGAUUUUCAUUGCCCUCUUUUCCUGCCACUGACAACCACCACCCACAGGUAAAAUCUUAUCCUUCAAAAUCUUGGAUGUGUCCUAAAACCCCAUUUUCAACUGUAUUAAUGAGAGUUCUCCAGAGAAACAGAACCAAUAGACUAUAUAUAUGCAUAUGUAUGUGUGUAUAAAAUAGAAUAUAUAUGUGUAUACAUAUAGAAAAAGAGAGAGAGAGAUUUAAAACGAAUUGACUUAUAUGAUUAUAGAGGCUAAAAUGCCCCAAGAUUUGCAGUUGGCAAUCAGCAAACUAGAGAACCAGGGUAGCCAAUGGCAUAAGUUCCAGUCAGAAAGCUUGCAAGCUGAAGAACCAAGAAGAACCAAUGUUUGAGUCUGAAGGCGGGAAAAGACCAAUGUUCCAGCUCAGGCAGUGAGGUGGGAGGCAUCCCCCCUUACUCAAGGGAGGUUUAGCCUUUUUGUUCUAUUCGGGCCUUCAUGUGAUUGGAUGAGGCCCACCCAUAUAAGGGAGGAAAAUCUGCUUUGCUCAAUCUAUGGAUUCAAAUGUGGAUCUCAUCCAAAGCACCCCAACAGAUACACCCAGAAAUAAUGUUUGACCAAAUAUCAGGGCACCCCAUGGUCCAGUAAAGUUGACCCAUAAAAUUAACUAUCACACCAUCUGCAGACUCUGGUUUCUGCGCUCUCUCUGCACCGUUUGCUUAAGAAAUCACACCCUCUUCACUAAUAUCUGCGGAUUGAUGCAGUCUUUCUCUCCCAUAACACUCUGCUUACUUCCUACUCUACUAGCAACACACUUCCGAGUGCUCUGUCUUAUGCGGGGGUCACUCCACACAGAAAGCUCCCACCACACAUGAGAAAAAUUGAAUUCAUAAUGUUUGUUCUCAAUGGCCCCUUCUCUUAUUGUCAAUGAUUAUAGUACCCAAAAAAUAAACAUGGAACUCAUUCCUCAGGUAUUUUUCUAUUCUGUUGCUACAAAUCACACCAGGUUGCUGGUCUGGCCAGCUUUCAAGUUUCUUUGCCACCAAUUAUUGAAUUAAUUAGUUUUCCAGCAAGCUUGCUCUUUGUUCUGUGUAGUACAUAAAUGGCACUCGGGGUGGAAAGUUUACAGUAAGAAAGCAAGACAAGUGCUCAUUUAAGUCACCAUGAAAAGCACUUAAAACCCCCACACCUUCCAAGUAGACCCUCACUGACCAUUAUCUACCUCUCAGGCAGGACCAAGUGAGUGGCUUUAGAGACCUGAAAAUUUCACCUCAGCGGCCUUGCAUGAACCCAAACUAAAUUUGAAAUAUAAAGUCAUUCUUUGAAACCUCACUGGAAAUGCUAGCAAUAUGUCUGGGUGAUGCUUCUGGCUGGCAAAAUGGCAAGUCAUUUAUCCUUUCUGCCCUUGUUUCCUCAUAUGUGAAAUGAGGAACACUGACUCACUUCACAGGAAGGCUGCAUGCGUUUAAUUAGUUAACAACACACAUCAAAAAUACAAACUGCAGAAUACCUUUGCUCAGCCGGAAGCUCAGUAAACCUGCCAGGAGCAUUCAUUGCUUAGUUGAUCUAACCUAGAUCUUUCCUUACGUCGUGGCUCUGGUUCUGCUCUGACCCAUAAACACGUUUUUGUCUACAUGUACAGAUUCUUACAGACACAUGGAUUUUAGAUUUCUAUUUUAAUGUUUUCUUUUUAUGACUGCAAUUGUUGAGGUUUUAUGUUUUCUUUAUCAAAUGUUCACUAAGAUCCCUAUUUACUACAGAAAACUUUAGACACCCAUGCCAAAAAAUUGCAUGUCCGACUAGCAUAUCCUAGCCAAAUGAGCCCACAUCAAACUCAGCUUUACUUUCCUUACUCCAAAGUACCUUCUGUGACUAGACAAAAGAUGAUGGAAACUUCAUCCUAGAACAUCAGACCCUGCCAGGCACAUUUCCAUCUGUCCUAUUGAAGAUUGCCAAAAGCAUUUUCUGAAGAUUUUUUUCUCAUAAAAUUCAUCAAUCAAAAAUUCUUUCAGGCAGAAGUUAUUUAAGGACUAGGAAAUGUAGUGAUUCCUUCCCUGACUGACCUCUUGGACUGCAGGAGACACACCUAACCACAAUGGAAGGAGGAAAACAACUGAUGCACCGUCAGGAUCUGUUUACUUCCUUUCAGCCACACACUCCCCACUGCCACCAGCACACAUACAGACAUUCAGCCUAAGUGAUCAACAAUCAUAGCCUUACAAAAAAAGAGGAAAUCAGGUGUCUUGAACUCUAAAGGAAGUGGGAAACUUCACAGCUAGAGCCUGGAACCCAGAAGUUAGGAGAUAAAUCAAAUUGAUGCCAAGGAGGAAAGGUUGAGGCCAACAGCUUGGGUUUGAAUGGAUCAAUGGCUGGCCAACCAAGUCAAAAAGUAGCCUGACUAUGUUGACAUUGGAGCAAGGGAAAGUCUUGCUGAUAAGCAGUGGCAGGGAUAGAAAACAUUCAUAUUAAAUGUGUUUGUUCUCUUCUGCAGUGAAGACUAAAUAGUUGAAGGGGAAAGCCUUCUUAGAUUCCUCUCCUUGAACUAGCACUGUUAAUUUGCUAACCUGUGCCAAAUUACCAGUCACCUCUCAUCAGUCCUCUCUUGUCAGUCCUACUUCUCAACUUUUCCCAAAGAUUCUUAGGACCACUAAAUCUUCCCACAUCCAGUUCUCUUCCUUUUAGGCCCUUAUUGCUUCAGGCUCUUCUUUUUUCAUUUUUCUCCUAAAUAGCCAUGGCAGAAUUAUGCUGGGACAUUGUAGUUUCUAGGUGCAUUAGUAUGUGAAUUAGUCUUUAUUUAAAGAAACUAUGGCAUGCCGAUCACCAUGUUGGGUAUAUAAGAAUGCUUUUAAAAAAUGAAGUCAUUUCUUCUACCAAUAAAAUUUUCUUUCUAAUUAAAGAGUUCAUACCACCACAAAUACAAUAGCACUGAAAAAAUGCAUUAACAAAAUGAG